rnacentral:rRNA from 1 species
ACUCAAAUGAAUUGACGGGGGCCCGCACAAGCGGUGGAUUAUGUGGAUUAAUUCGAUGCAACGCGAAAAACCUUACCUGGCCUUGACAUGUACGGAACUUAGCAGAGAUGCUUUGGUGCUCGUAAGAGAGCCGUAACACAGGUGCUGCAUGGCUGUCGUCAGCUCGUGUCGUGAGAUGUUGGGUUAAGUCCCGCAACGAGCGCAACCCUUGCCAAUAAUUGCCAUCAUUUAGUUGGGCACUUUAUUGGGACUGCCGAUGACAAAUCGGAGGAAGGUGGGGAUGACGUCAAGUCCUCAUGGCCCUUAUGGCCAGGGCUUCACACGUAAUACAAUGGUCGGUACAGAGGGUUGCCAAGCCGCAAGGUGGAGCCAAUCCCAGAAAGCCGAUCGUAGUCCGGAUUGAGGUCUGCAACUCGACCUCAUGAAGUCGGAAUCGCUAGUAAUCGCGGAUCAGCAUGUCGCGGUGAAUACGUUCCCGGGCCUUGUACACACCGCCCGU